GCGCAGCGAUGACGUAAACGCCUGGCCCAAUGGGCGCCAGCGAGGAAGCGUUAAAGAGUCAAGGCAGUUUGUGGGAGUCGCGCUGGGGACGUUCAAGGUGUCUCGUAGCCGAUGGAGUCUCACUCUGUCGCCCAGACUGGAGUGCAAUGGCGUGAUCUCGGCUCACUGCAAGCUCCGCCUUCCCGGUUCAUGCCAUUCUCUUGCCUCAGCCUCCUGAGUAGCUGGGACUACAGGUGCCCACCACCACACCUGGUUAAUUUUUUUGUAUUUUUAGUAGAGACGGGGUUUCACCGUGUUAGCCAGGAUGGUCUUGAUUUUUCGACUUCAUGAUCUGCCUGCCUCGGCCUCCCAAAGUGCUGGGAUUACAGGCGUGAGCCACCGCGCCCGGCCAAGCACUUCCUUGAACACAGAGAUGACCAUGAGGAGGGAGGCGUGAACCAGGAUGACGGGGCAGCAGAUGGAGCCUGCCUCCCUGAGACCUCAGGUGACAGAGCCCUGUACUGCCUCUUCCUCCCUACAUGGCUGAGAAAUAAACUUCUUUUUCAA
rnacentral:lncRNA from 1 species